CCUACGGGUGGCAGCAGUGGGGGAUAUUGCACAAUGGGGGAAACCCUGAUGCAGCGACGCCGCGUGAGUGAAGAAGUAUUUCGGUAUGUAAAGCCCUAUCAGCCGGGAAGAAAAUGACAGUACCCGACCAAGAAGCCCCGGGUAACUACGUGCCAGCAGCCGCGGGAACACGUAGGGGGCAAGCGUUAUUCGGAUUUACUGGGUGUAAAGGGGGCGUAGACGGUUAUGUAAGUCUGGAGUGAAAGCCCGGGGCCCAACCCCGGGACUGCUUUGGAAACUGUGGGACUUGAGUACAGGAGAGGCAGGCGGAAUGCGUGGUGUAGCGGUGAAAUGCGUAGAUAUCAGGCAGAACACCGACGGCGAAGGCGACCUGCUAGAGCAUAACUGACGCUGAUGCGCGAAAGCGUGGGGAGCAAACAGGAGUAGAUACCCUUGUAGUC
rnacentral:rRNA from 1 species